GACGAACGCUGGCGGCGUGCUUAACACAUGCAAGUCGAACGGAAAGGCCCUGCUUGCAGGGUACUCGAGUGGCGAACGGGUGAGUAACACGUGGGUGAUCUGCCCUGCACUUCGGGAUAAGCCUGGGAAACGGGGUCUAAUACCGGAUAGGAGCCAUCUUUAGUGUGAUGGUUGGAAAGUUUUUUCGGUGUAGGAUGAGCUUGCGGCCUAGCAGCUUGUUGGUGGGGUAAUGGCCUACCAAGGCGGCGACGGGUAGCCGGCCUGAGAGGGUGGACGGCCACACUGGGACUGAGAUACGGCCCAGACUCCUACGGGAGGCAGCAGUGGGGAAUAUUGCACAAUGGGCGCAAGCCUGAUGCAGCGACGCCGCGUGGGGGAUGACGGCCUUCGGGUUGUAAACUCCUUUCGCUAGGGACGAAGCUUUUUGUGACGGUACCUAGAGAAGAAGCACCGGCUAACUACGUG
rnacentral:rRNA from 1 species